UAGGUGGGAGGCUUAGAAGUGUGGACGCCAGUCUGCAUGGAGCCGACCUUGAAAUACCACCCUUUAAUGUUUGAUGUUCUAACGUUGACCCGUAAUCCGGGUUGCGGACAGUGUCUGGUGGGUAGUUUGACUGGGGCGGUCUCCUCCUAAAGAGUAACGGAGGAGCACGAAGGUUGGCUAAUCCUGGUCGGACAUCAGGAGGUUAGUGCAAUGGCAUAAGCCAGCUUGACUGCGAGCGUGACGGCGCGAGCAGGUGCGAAAGCAGGUCAUAGUGAUCCGGUGGUUCUGAAUGGAAGGGCCAUCGCUCAACGGAUAAAAGGUACUCCGGGGAUAACAGGCUGAUACCGCCCAAGAGUUCAUAUCGACGGCGGUGUUUGGCACCUCGAUGUCGGCUCAUCACAUCCUGGGGCUGAAGUAGGUCCCAAGGGUAUGGCUGUUCGCCAUUUAAAGUGGUACGCGAGCUGGGUUUAGAACGUCGUGAGACAGUUCGGUCCCUAUCUGCCGUGGGCGCUGGAGAACUGAGGGGGGCUGCUCCUAGUACGAGAGGACCGGAGUGGACGCAUCACUGGUGUUCGGGUUGUCAUGCCAAUGGCACUGCCCGGUAGCUAAAUGCGGAAGAGAUAAGUGCUGAAAGCAUCUAAGCACGAAACUUGCCCCGAGAUGAGUUCUCCCUGACUCCUUGAGAGUCCUGAAGGAACGUUGAAGACGACGACGUUGAUAGGCCGGGUGUGUAAGCGCAGCGAUGCGUUGAGCUAACCGGUACUAAUGAACCGUGAGG
rnacentral:rRNA from 1 species